CGGACCGGUGCCAGAAACACUGCCUCAGCAUUUAUACGUAUGUGCAUUUCAAACGAGGGUGCGUACAAUGCUGGAUUUGUUUCACGGCUCCUGUUGGAAAAAAAAGGACCUAUUCCUAAAGUCCGUCAUCCACUCACUGAAGAGGGCAAAUCCCAGUUGCCCACAUGCAAGGAGGCUGUCAAACAGAGAAAUCACUGCAGACUGUUGGUACACAGACAUCUGCUGCCCAGCUCAGGAGUAAAGGUGAUGGUGAGGACAGCCACAGCUUCCAUCUGGUAGAGGACUGCUUCCGCUCAGUCUUCCAAAUAGUGAUGAGAACAAGGAUCACCACAUCUCCCUGUUUACCCUACUUUCAUGCAUUUCGUCUGCAAGGCCCUGCAAAAGCUUCUCCUUCGCCCUCAAACCCCCAGACUUCUUAAUUAACUCAGUAACCUAUACAUUGCACAUUGGAGUGUGAAGGUAACAGUUUGUUCUAGCUUUGGAGUAGUGGUGUAUUUUUUUGGUUUACAAUAAAGUUGGCUUUAACUAU